rnacentral:rRNA from 1 species
AUGCUGGAGGUAUCAGAAGUGCGAAUGCUGACAUAAGUAACGAUAAAGCGGGUGAAAAGCCCGCUCGCCGGAAGACCAAGGGUUCCUGUCCAACGUUAAUCGGGGCAGGGUGAGUCGACCCCUAAGGCGAGGCCGAAAGGCGUAGUCGAUGGGAAACAGGUUAAUAUUCCUGUACUUGGUGUUACUGCGAAGGGGGGACGGAGAAGGCUAUGUUGGCCGGGCGACGGUUGUCCCGGUUUAAGCGUGUAGGCUGGUUUUCCAGGCAAAUCCGGAAAAUCAAGGCUGAGGCGUGAUGACGAGGCACUACGGUGCUGAAGCAACAAAUGCCCUGCUUCCAGGAAAAGCCUCUAAGCAUCAGGUAACAUCAAAUCGUACCCCAAACCGACACAGGUGGUCAGGUAGAGAAUACCAAGGCGCUUGAGAGAACUCGGGUGAAGGAACUAGGCAAAAUGGUGCCGUAACUUCGGGAGAAGGCACGCUGAUAUGUAGGUGAGGUCCCUCGCGGAUGGAGCUGAAAUCAGUCGAAGAUACCAGCUGGCUGCAACUGUUUAUUAAAAACACAGCACUGUGCAAACACGAAAGUGGACGUAUACGGUGUGACGCCUGCCCGGUGCCGGAAGGUUAAUUGAUGGGGUUAGCCGCAAGGCGAAGCUCUUGAUCGAAGCCCCGGUAAACGGCGGCCGUAACUAUAACGGUCCUAAGGUAGCGAAAUUCCUUGUCGGGUAAGUUCCGACCUGCACGAAUGGCGUAAUGAUGGCCAGGCUGUCUCCACCCGAGACUCAGUGAAAUUGAACUCGCUGUGAAGAUGCAGUGUACCCGCGGCAAGACGGAAAGACCCCGUGAACCUUUACUAUAGCUUGACACUGAACAUUGAGCCUUGAUGUGUAGGAUAGGUGGGAGGCUUAGAAGUGUGGACGCCAGUCUGCAUGGAGCCGACCUUGAAAUACCACCCUUUAAUGUUUGAUGUUCUAACGUUGACCCGUAAUCCGGGUUGCGGACAGUGUCUGGUGGGUAGUUUGACUGGGGCGGUCUCCUCCUAAAGAGUAACGGAGGAGCACGAAGGUUGGCUAAUCCUGGUCGGACAUCAGGAGGUUAGUGCAAUGGCAUAAGCCAGCUUGACUGCGAGCGUGACGGCGCGAGCAGGUGCGAAAGCAGGUCAUAGUGAUCCGGUGGUUCUGAAUGGAAGGGCCAUCGCUCAACGGAUAAAAGGUACUCCGGGGAUAACAGGCUGAUACCGCCCAAGAGUUCAUAUCGACGGCGGUGUUUGGCACCUCGAUGUCGGCUCAUCACAUCCUGGGGCUGAAGUAGGUCCCAAGGGUAUGGCUGUUCGCCAUUUAAAGUGGUACGCGAGCUGGGUUUAGAACGUCGUGAGACAGUUCGGUCCCUAUCUGCCGUGGGCGCUGGAGAACUGAGGGGGGCUGCUCCUAGUACGAGAGGACCGGAGUGGACGCAUCACUGGUGUUCGGGUUGUCAUGCCAAUGGCACUGCCCGGUAGCUAAAUGCGGAAGAGAUAAGUGCUGAAAGCAUCUAAGCACGAAACUUGCCCCGAGAUGAGU